rnacentral:misc_RNA from 1 species
CACCUUGUGAGAAAUCAUGAGUGUU